rnacentral:lncRNA from 1 species
GCCGCAUCUGUGGCAUAUGGAAGUUCCCAGGCUAAGGUUCAAAUAUGAACUGCAGCUGAGACCUCUGCCACAGCCACAGCAACACCAUAUCCAAGUCGCAUGUGUGACCUAUGCCACAGCUUGCGACAACACCAGAUCCUUAACCCACUGAUCGAGGCCAGGGAUUGAACCCUCAUCCUCACGGACACUAUAUUGGGAUCUUAAUCCAUUGAGUCACAAUAGGAACUCUGACCCCAUGGGAUUUUCUUGUUGUUGUUGUUUUUCAAAGACAAUUGCUUCUUCCUGGAUUGGUAUUGUGUGAGAGGGGUUCAGGGCUAAAAUGAAUAGAUCUCUAACCAAAGAUCUUAAUAGGGAUAAAAAUUACUUUUGACAAAUCCCACUCUAAAUCAUUGUAGUGGGCAACUCUGAGCACCAAAAACGAACAAGAGUUACAAUGUCUGAGGGCUUUGUCUCCUUUGUCAACAAGAAUAUGUGGUUUAGAGGUACAAGCCACCAACCAGUGACCCCCUGGAAGGCCACCACCAAGAGAGCUGCUUCCUGACUCCAGUUCUGGGUGACCCUGUCUGUGGCUUGCUGAGGAGUCUACUGAUGUUCUACCCUAACUCCCACCCUUGCUGCUGUUACUCCCCUGAGUAACAGAACCCUGAGUUUAUUUCAGGCAACAGUGUACCCAACUAAACAGGUCCCAGCCUUCCUUGCAGCUAAGUGUGGCCAUGUGGUUAGAGUCUGCCCAAUGAGGUAUAAGCUGAGAAGUUGUCAGUGGAUUCCAGAAAGUCUCAUUAAAAGGGAGGGGACACUUUCACCUCUUUUCACUGCUCCUUCCUGUUGCCUGGAAUGAGGUGAUGGUUGCUGAGCUCAAGCAGCCAUCUUGGACUUAGAUGAUGCGAGGAGGAAAGCUUCCUGGUGGCAGAGUUCCCACUGGGGCUCAGCAGGUUCAAAACCCAAUGUAGUCUCUGUAAGGAUGCGGCUUCGAUGCCUGGCCUCACUCAGUGGGUUAAGGAUCUAGUGUUGCCACAAGCUGUAGCAUAGCUUGCAGAUGUGGCUUGAAUCUGAUAUUGCUGUGGCUGUAGCGCAGGCUGGCAGCUGCAGCUCUGAUUUGACCCCUAGCCCAGGAAUUUCCAUAUGCUGCAGGUGCAGCUGUAAAAAGAAAAAAAAAACAACCCAAAAAAACAAAAAACUUCUUGCUACUCUUUAAGGGUCUUUGUCAUCGUCAGCAGAUGCAGUUUCUAACUGAUAUGUGGAAGCUCACUGGGCCUCAUUUUGUGGAAGGGCAAAGGUGUCCACAGUUCCUCUAAGCCAACUGCUACUUCUGCUCUCUCUGGAAGAAUCAUCCUGCCCAAGAGGGCCCAAUUCUUUCACAACUUUC